UACGUAGGGUGCAAGCGUUAAUCGGAAUUACUGGGCGUAAAGCGUGCGCAGGCGGUUGUGCAAGACCGAUGGGAAAUCCCCGGGCUUAACCUGGGAAUGGCAUUGGUGACUGCACGGCUAGAGUGUGUCAGAGGGGGGUAGAAUUCCACGUGUAGCAGUGAAAUGCGUAGAGAUGUGGAGGAACACCGAUGGCGAAGGCAGCCCCCUGGGUCAAGAUUGACGCUCAUGCACGAAAGCGUGGGGAGCAAACAGG
rnacentral:rRNA from 1 species